CACAGCUUUUUAUUGAGAUUAUGAUCGACACACAGCACUGUAUAAGUUUAAGAUGUUCAGCAUGAUGACUUGACUUAUGUACAUCAUGAAAUGAUUAUUACAGUAAGUUUAGUGAAAUCCAUCAUCUCAUAUAGGUGUGAAACUAUAUUAAACAUUUAAUGAAGAGUUAAUAGAAAAUAGAAAAAGGAGAAAGCAUUUCCCAGCUCAUAUUUUGAGACUAACACUAUACUACCAGAAAAAUUAGGCAAAGAAAAUAAAACUAUAAUAUUGCUUCAGGGACAUAGAUGCAAAAAUGCAUAGCAAAAUAUUAGCAAGUCCAUUCCAGCAAUAUAAAAAAAAUAAUAAUGCAUCGUGAGAGUUUCCCUGAUGGUCUAGUGGUUAGGAUUCAGUGCUUUCACCACUGUGGCCCAGGUUUGGUCCCUUGUUUGAGAAGUGAGAUCCCACAUCAAGCUGCUGCACAAUUGGCCAAAUAAUAAUAAUAAUAAUAAUAAUAAUAAUAAUAGUAACAUCAUGGUCAAGUGGGGUUUAGCUCAGGAAUGCAAAGUUGAUUUAAUAUUGGAAAUCAAAAUAAUUUAUUAACAGAACAGAGGAGAAAAAACAUGAUCAUUUCAAUGGGUACAGAGAAAAAGUAUUUGGGAAAUUCAGUACAUAUUUAUAGUUUAAAAAAUCUCAGUGAACUAAAGGAUGUCUGCUUUUAUCAUUUUUAUUUACUGUUCUACCAGAGGUCCUAACCAGUAAAAGAAGGAAAGACGAAGUUAAAAGCAUACAGAUUGGAAGUAAAACUGUCUUUCAUCUCAGAUGACGUGAUUGUUUACAUAGAAAUCUAAGAAAUCUAACAAAAAGCUGCUAAAACAAUAGGUGAAAUAAAGCAAGAUUUUAGGACACAAAGUCAACAUACAAAUAUCAAAUUUUAUUUCUGUAUACCAGCAAUGAACAGUUGGUAAAUGAGUUUUUAAAAAUGAAUGCAACAUGAAAUUCUUAGGAAUAAAUUUAUCCAAGUGUGUAUAAGAUACAUACACUAAAACCUAUAAAGCAUUGCUAAGACAAAUGAAGAAUCUAAGUAAAUGGAGGUAUGUAUAUACCAUGUUUAUGGAUCAGAGCCUGAGUAUUGUUAUGUUAGUUCUCUUUAGAUUGAUCAGUGUAUAUUCAGUACCAUUCCAAUCAAAAUCUUACCAGACCUUUUUGAGAAAUCAAAAGCUGAAUGAUUCCAAAGUUUAUAUGGAAAUGCAAAGGACCUAAUAACCUGAACAGUUUUGAAAACAAAAAAAGCACACUGUUGGAGGAUUUACACAACCUGAUUUCAGGUCUUAACUAUAAAGCUACAGUUAUCAAGACAGUGUAGUUUUGACAUAAUGACAAGCGUGAGAUGAACAAAACAGAAUAAAGAAUCAAGAAAUACACUCAUGUGUAUGUAGUCAAUUGUUUUUUGUGAAAGUGCCCAAACUAUUCAGGGAUAGUCUUCUCAACAAAUAGUGUUGGAACAACUGUAUAUCUCUGUGGGAAGAAAUAGACCUUGACCUUACCUCACAUCAUAAAAAAAAUGGACUCAAAACAAAUCAUGGGUAUAAAUGUAAAAGCUAAAACUGUAAAACUUAGUAGAAAACAUAAGAGAAAAUGUUUUCAUCCUUAGGAUAAUCAAAGGUUUCUUAAAUAACACAAGUGGCAUAAGCCAUAAAACAAAAAACCUGAUAAAUAGUACUGUAUCAAAAUAGAAAACUUUUGCUCUUCAAAAGACAAUUUUAAGAAAAUGAAAACACAAAUCAGACUGCUGAAAUAUUUGCAGAACAUACGCAGUUGAUCCUCACUCAGAUUCUAUAUUUACAGGUUUAUCUACUUAUUAAAAUUUAUAACCUGCAAACCACUAUUUGCAGUGCUUUUGUGGUCAUUCAUGGAUAUGCACAGAGUAGCAAAAAUUUAAGUUGCCCAACGUAUAUGUUCCAGCCAGUAUCAAACAAAAUGGUGCUCUGCCUUGUUUUAGUUUUCAGGGUAUAAACAAGUGCCCCUAUGGCAGAAAUUGGCACAACAUUGUAAGUCAACUACACUUUAUUUUAAAAAUAAAUAAAUGUCCUUUUCAUAGCCUAUUUAGUGCCAAUAUUUUGCAUUUUUUAUUAUUUUUGUUGUUGAUCUUGCAACUUAAAAUGGCUCCCAAGCAUAAUGUAGAAGUACUGUCUAGUGUUCUUAAGUUCAAGAAAGCUAUGAUGUACCUUAUGGAGAAAAUUCACGUCUUAGAUAAGCCUCAUCCAGGCAUUAGUUAGAGUGACAAUGGCUGCGAGUUUAAUGUUAGUGAAUCAAUGAUAUAUAUUAAAUAUAUUAAAUAAGGUAUCUUUAAACAUAAAUACACGUAAAAUAAGAUUAUGCAUUGAUUGAUUGGCUAACGUGUUGUGACCAGAGUCUCUUAGGAGACUAACCCUAAGGUAUUUGCCCUAGGAGUAAUGGUUCAGUAUUCACUAAUUCACGGUAUAGAACGUAACUACCUCAAAGAACUCUACCUGAUGAAGGGCUAUAUCCAGAAUAUGUUUUUUAAUAAAUAAUCUAAGAUAUGAGUAAGGUAUUUGAAAAGAUACUUUACAAGAAAAGAUAAAAGAUAAGUGAACAGCCAAAUAAGCAUGUGAAAGUGUACUUAACAUUGAUGGUUGUCAGUGAAGUCACACAAAUUAAAAGACAAAAUGGGGGAGUUCCCCGGUGGCCUAGCAGCUUAAAGAUCCUUCAUUGUCACUGCUGUGGCUCUGGUUACUGCUGUGGAGCAGGUUCAUUCCCUGGCCUAGGAACUUCCAGAUGCUGCAGGCAUGACCAAAACAAAACAGAAAAAACACCGCAAUGGGAUACCACUACAUUCUCAUUGGGAUAACUAAAAUUAAAGACAGACUAUGGCAAGUUCCAGGGAGGAUGUGGAACAGUGGGAAGUCAUACAUUGCUGGUAGGACAACCACUUUGGAAAAGUUUGACAAUUUGUUACAGUGUUAGACAUUUUACUUACCAUAUAGCCUACCAAUGUUGGAGUUCCCAUCAUGGUGCAGUGGAAACAAAUCCAACUAGGAACCAUGAAGUUGCGGAUUCAAUCCCUGGCCUUGCUCAGUGGAUUGACGAUCUGGCAUUGCUGUGAGCUGUGGUGUAGGUCACAGAUGCGGCUUGGAUCCUGUGCUGUGGCUGUGGCUGUGGCCGGCAGCUAUAGCUCUGAUUCCACCCCUAGCCUGGGAACCUCCAUAUGCUGUGUGUGCAGCCCU
rnacentral:tRNA from 1 species